UACGAAGGGUGCAAGCGUUACUCGGAAUUACUGGGCGUAAAGCGUGCGUAGGUGGUUUGUUAAGUCUGUUGUGAAAGCCCCGGGCUCAACCUGGGAAUGGCAAUGGAUACUGGCAAGCUAGAGUGCGGUAGAGGGUAGUGGAAUUCCCGGUGUAGCGGUGAAAUGCGUAGAGAUCGGGAGGAACACCAGUGGCGAAGGCGACUUACUGGACUGUAACUGACACUGAGGCAUGAAAGCGUGGGGAGCAAACAGG
rnacentral:rRNA from 1 species